AGCCUCCUGUAUCCGUGCUGAUUUAAUCAGAUUUCAUCACACACCAGACCACAAGGGCUGAUGAAAAUUGCAAGAUAAGUGAAGCG
rnacentral:pre_miRNA from 1 species